CUGCUGUGAUGACUUCUUAGGACACCUUUGGAUAAACCAUGAAAACAAACAUAAAGACCUGAGCUGC
ensembl:snoRNA SNORD58 Small nucleolar RNA SNORD58